rnacentral:rRNA from 1 species
ACGUACACUCCUGCGGGAGGCAGCAGUAGGGAAUCUUCCACAAUGGGUGCAAACCUGAUGGAGCAAUGCCGCGUGAGUGAAGAAGGUCUUCGGAUCGUAAAGCUCUGUUGUUAGAGAAGAACACGUGCUAGGUAACUACUAGCGCCUUGACGGUAUCUAACCAGAAAGUCACGGCUAACUACGUGCCAGCAGCCGCGGUAAUACGUAGGUGACAAGCGUUGUCCGGAUUUAUUGGGCGUAAAGGGAGCGCAGGCGGUCUGUUUAGUCUAAUGUGAAAGCCCACGGCUUAACCGUGGAACGGCAUUGGAAACUGACAGACUUGAAUGUAGAAGAGGAAAAUGGAAUUCCAAGUGUAGCGGUGGAAUGCGUAGAUAUUUGGAGGAACACCAGUGGCGAAGGCGAUUUUCUGGUCUAACAUUGACGCUGAGGCUCGAAAGCGUGGGGAGCGAACAGGAGUAGAAACCCUUGUAGUCCCA